rfam:Lasius niger Lnig_2.1_16139, whole genome shotgun sequence.
CGGGAAGUGGCCUAGUGGCUAUGGCGCUCGGUUUGGGACCGAGAGGUCGCAGGUUCGACUCCUGUCUUCCCGA